rnacentral:rRNA from 1 species
UACGAAGGGGGGCUAGCGUUGUUCGGAUUUACUGGGCGUAAAGCGCACGUAGGCGGAUUGUUAAGUCAGGGGUGGAAUCCCGGAGCUCAACUCCGGAACUGCCUUUGAUACUGGCAAUCUAGAGUCCGGAAGAGGUGAGUGGAACUCCUAGUGUAGAGGUGGAAUUCGUAGAUAUUAGGAAGAACACCAGUGGCGAAGGCGGCUCACUGGUCCGGGUACUGACGCUGAGGUGCGAAAGCGUGGGGAGCAAACAGG